ACACCCUAAAAAAAAAGAAACUAUGCUCAGAGAGAGUCCGCAGAAUCAAGGCGGAGAGAAUCAAGGCAGAGAUUGGAGAGAAAAUCCGAAGAAUCAAAGUUGAGAGAAGUAAUCGAGUAUUGAGCAUCGAAUCUGAGAUUUAAACUUCUGAUUUGCGUGUAUUUCAGAGUUUCGGCGGCUUUCAAAAUCAGUUCAAAUGAUCAACAAAAUUAUCUUAACAACUGGAAUAAAGGCUGAGAUCCUCACUUUGUGUCUGAGUGCCCUGCUGCGCAUCGCUCUUCAUGGUCUGAAAUUCCUAUAAGUUCAAAUCUGUAUGGUCAGACUUCACCUGGAAAAGUUUCCUUUAGUGAGAAUUGAGGAGGCGUGGCAGACACAGUGGCUCUGCUUUCAGUUCCAACAAGUCGUUUCCAUGUGAAUCUGAACUCAUGCACAUCAAGAGCAAGUCCAGGCUGAUUGAUCCACUGGAGCAAAAUGACAGUUUGAAGAAUCAUGAAGUCUGGUGGAUGUUUUAGAGGAAGAAAGUGAUGGUCAUGAUGACAAUCCUUAUGUGGAGGAAGAUUUUCCAAAGGAGUUUAAAAUGAUCAAGUUUAGAGACUGGUUGCAAGUUGGGUCAUUCGGGUGUGGUGUUUUUUGUUGAGCUUAAUUGUAUGUUGCGGAAACGUGUACACUUAUUUUGUUUAUGGCUUAGGCGCUAGGGCAUGCUGUCAGGAAUUUUAUUUGGUUAGAUUUGAUUUUGAUUUCCUAGAGAUUGGUGUUGGUUGAUCAUGGUAAGGCCUUAAGUUAAGUGACUAAAGCUUGUGUUUGUUUCUUGGUGGGGACUUUGAUAUGUUUGUAAAGACACUGUUUGUUAAGGUUCUAGCUUCAUCAUUUCAUGUUAGCAGUUUCUUAGAUCGAAUUCAGGAUGCAUUGUUUGAUCAAUAUGUGAUUGAGACCCUCUCAGGGUCACCAUUAGUCGAGCAUCAUCUAGAGCCAGUAGAAGAGGAUCAGAUCAUGGUUGCGGUUCGUCACUUGCAGAAUGCUGGCGCUAUCAGGAGUUUUAGCAUUUUAGCACCAUCAAGAGUGUGGUAGUAUAUUAGUUCCCGAUGAGCUCAUCAGGAGCACC